UACGGAGGAUCCAAGCGUUAUCCGGAUUUAUUGGGUUUAAAGGGAGCGUAGGCGGCCUAUUAAGUCAGGGGUGAAAGACGGUGGCUCAACCAUCGCAGUGCCUUUGAUACUGAUGGGCUUGAAUGUAGUUGAGGUAGGCGGAAUGUGACAAGUAGCGGUGAAAUGCAUAGAUAUGUCACAGAACACCGAUUGCGAAGGCAGCUUACUAAGCUAUGAUUGACGCUGAGGCUCGAAAGCGUGGGGAUCAAACAGG
rnacentral:rRNA from 1 species